UACGGAGGGUGCAAGCGUUGUCCGGAAUCACUGGGCGUAAAGGGCGCGUAGGCGGCUCAUGAAGGCUGUGGUGAAAGUCCGGGGCUCAACCUCGGAUCGGCCGUGGCGACUCGUGGGCUGGAGCACUGUAGAGGCGGGUGGAAUUCCGGGUGUAGCGGUGGAAUGCGUAGAGAUCCGGAAGAACACCGGUGGCGAAGACGGCCUCCUGGCUUAAUACUGACACUGAGGUGCGAAAGCGUGGGGAGCAAACAGG
rnacentral:rRNA from 1 species